rnacentral:rRNA from 1 species
GAUGAACGCUAGCUACAGGCUUAACACAUGCAAGUCGCAGGGUAACAUGAGGAAAGCUAGCUUUCCUUGAUGACGACUGGCGCACGGGUGAGUAACGCGUAUCCAACCUUCCCAUAACUACGGGAUAACCCGUUGAAAGACGGCCUAAUACCGUAUGAUAUCGUUUGCUGACAUCAAAUAACGAUUAAAGGUUUAUCGGUUAUGGAUGGGGAUGCGUCUGAUUAGCUUGUUGGCGGGGUAACGGCCCACCAAGGCGACGAUCAGUAGGGGUUCUGAGAGGAAGGUCCCCAACAUUGGACCGGAGACACUGACCAAACGCCUACGGGAGGCGUCAGUGAGGAAUAUUGGUCAAGGGUCGCAGGCCGAAACCAGCAAAGAGGCUUGAUGAACGACGGCCUUAGGGGUUGUAAACUCCUUUAUUGGGGGGAAAAAGUGCGUAACGUUUAUGCAUUGCAGGUACCACAUGAAUAAGGACCGGCUAAUUCCGUG